AGAGUUUUACAGUGCGCCGCAGAAAGUUACGCGAACAAAGCACGUAGACUGCCAAUCAUCAAGGUGGUGAGGAUUAAGGAUGGUAUAUUUUUCGCGUGGAACGAUGGCGAAAAGUUGCAGGAGAUAUGAUUCCGAACAAUUCUUCGGAGCACUCUCCGUGAUACAACUGAUAGACGAUGCAGAGUGAAGCCACAUCUCAGCGUGAUUCCAAGGGUUCCAAGCUAUUUGA